GAACUUUUAGUUUAAUAUAGAAUUUUUCAUUUACACUGAAGGGGUUAAAAGUUUU
rnacentral:tRNA from 1 species